CCUACGGGCGGCUGCAGUGAGGAAUAUUGGUCAAUGGACGCAAGUCUGAACCAGCCAUGCCGCGUGCAGGAAGACGGCUCUAUGAGUUGUAAGCUGCUUUUGUACGAGGGUAAACGCGGAUAGGCGGAUCUGUAUGAAAGUAACGUACGAAUAAGGAUCGGCUAACUCCGUGCCAGCAGCAGCGGUAAUACGGAGGAUUCAAGCGUUAUCCGGAGUUAUUGGGUUUAAAGGGGGCGUAGGCGGUCGGAUAAGUUAGUGGUGAAAUCCCGAGGCUCAACUUCGGAAUUGCAUCUGAUACUGUUCGGCUAGAGAGUAGUAGCGGUAGGCGGAAUGUAUGGUGUAGCGGUAAAAUGCUUAGAGAUCAUACAGAACACCGAUUGCGAAGGCAGCUUACCAAGCUACUGCUGACGUUGAGGCACGAAAGCGUGGGGAGCAAACAGGAUUAGAUACCCGGGUAGUC
rnacentral:rRNA from 1 species